rnacentral:sRNA from 1 species
GCGUGGAGUACUGCUCCCAUCUCUGGGC